AUUCUAAUGUUGGUGUGUUUAAUGUUGUCCCAGAGGUCUCUGAGACUGUCCUCAAUUCUUUCCAUUCUUUUUUCUUUAUUCUGCUCUCCAGUAGUUAUUUCCACUAUUUUACCUCCCAGGUCACUUAUCCGUUCUUCUGCCUCAGUUAUUCUGCUAUUGAUCCCCUCUAGAGAAUUUUUAAUUUCAUUUAUUGUGUUGUUCAUGAUUGUUUGUUUGCUCUUUAGUUCUUCUAAGUCCUUGUUAAAUGUUUCUUGUAUUUUCUCCAUUCUAUUUCCAAGAUUUUGGAUCAUCUUUAGUAUCAUUAUUCUGAAUUCUUUUUCAGGUAGGCUGCCUAUUUCCUCUUCAGUUGUUAGUUCUGGUGGGCUUUUAUCUUGCUCCUUCAUCUGCUGUGUGUUUCUUUGUCUUCUCAUUUCGCUUAACUUACUGUGUUUGGGGUCUCCUUUUCACAGACUGCAGAUUCGUAGUUCCCAUUGUUUUUGGUGUCUGUCCCAAGUGGCUAAGACUGGUUCAGUGGGUUGUGUAGGCUUCCUGGUGGAGGGGACUAGUGCCUGUGUUCUGGUGGAUGAGGCUGGAUCUUGUCUUCCGGGGGGCAGGACCGCAUCCGGUGUUGUGUUUUGGGGUGUCUCUGACCUUAUUAUGAUUUUAGGCAGCCUCUCUGCUAAUGGGUGGGGUUGUGUUCCUGUCUUGCUAGUUGUUUGGCAUAGGGUGUCCAGCACUGUAGCUUGCUGGUCGUUGAGUGGAGCUGGGUCUUAGCGUUGAGAUGGAGAUCUCUGGGAGAGCUUUUGCCAUUUGAUAUUACGUGGAGCUGGGAGGUCUCUGGUGAACCAGUGUCCUGAAGUUGGCUCUCCCACCUCAGAGGCACAGCACUGACACCCGGCUGGAGCACCAAGACCCUGCCAGCCACACGGCUGAGAAGAAAAGGGAGAAAAAAAGAAAGAAAGAAAGAAGAAAGAAAAAAUAAUAAAAAGAAAUAAAGUUAUAAAAAAAUUUAAAAAUUAUUUAAAAUAAAAAUAUUAAAAAGUAAUUUUAAAAAAGAGAAAGAAAAAAGGGAGCAACAAAACCAAAAAUUAAUCCACCAAUGAUAACAAGAGCUAAAAACUAUAUUUAAAAAAAAAAGGGCAGACAGAACCCUAGGAAAAAUGGUAAAAGCAACGCUAUACAGACAAAAUCACACAAAUAAGCAUACAUAUACAAACUCACAAAAAGAGAGAAAGGAAAAAAAAAAAUUUAUAUAUUAAAAAAAAGGAAGAGAGUGAGCAAUUCAGUAAACAAAUCUACCACUGAUAAUAAGAUCUAAAUAGUAAACUAAGAUAAACAUAAAACCAGAAACAAAUUAGAUGCAGAAAGCAAACCUCAAGUCUACAGUUGCUCCCAAAGUCCACCGCCUCAGUUUUGGGCUGAUUCAUUGUGUAUUCAGGUGUUCCAGAGAUGCAGGGUACAUCAAGUUGAUUGUGGUGAUUUAAUCUGCUGCUCCUGAGGCUGCUGGGAGAGAUUUCCCUUUCUCUUCUUUGUUCGCACAGCUCCUGGGGUUCAGCUUUGGAUUUGGACCCACCUCUGUGUGUAGGUCACCUGCGGGCGUCUGUUCUUCACUCAGACAGGACGGGGUUAAAGGAGCAGCUGAUUCGGGGGCUCUGGCUCACUUAGGCCUGGGGGAGGGAGGGGUGCGGAUGCGGGGCAAGCCUGCGGUGGCAGAGGCCAGUGAGACGUUGCACCAGCCUGAGGCACGCCGUGCGUUCUCCCAGGGAAGUUGUCCCUGGAUCCCGGGACCCUGGCAGAGGCGGGCUGCACAGGCUCCGGGGAGGGGAGGUGUGGACAGUGACCUGUGCUCGCACACAGGCUUCUUGGUGGCUGUAGCAGCAGCGUUAGUGUUUCAUGUUCAUCUCUUGUGUCUGCGCUGAUAGCCGCAGCUCGCACCCGUCUCUAGAGCUCAUUUAGGUGGUGCUCUGAAUCCCCUCUCCUCGCGCAUCCCGAAACAAUGGUCUGUUGCCUCUUCGGCAGGUCCAGACUUUCCCGGACUCCCUCCCAGCUAGCUGGGGUGCGCUAGCCCCCUUCAGGCUGUGUACACGCUGCCAACCCCGGUCCUCUCCCUGGGAUCUGACCUCCGAAGGCAGAGCCUCAGCUCCCAGCCCCGCCCGCCCCGGCGGGUGAGCAGACAAGCCUCUCGGGCUGGUGAGUGCCGGUCGGCACGGAUCCUCUGUGCGGGAAUCUCUCAGCUUUGCCCUCCGCACCCCUGUGGCUGCGCUCUCCUCCGCGGCUCCGAAGCUUUCCGCCUCUGCCACCUGCAGUCUCCGCCCGCGAAGGGGCUUCCUAGGGUAUGGAAACCUUUCCUCCUUCACGGCUCCUUCCCACUGGUGCAGGUCCCGUCCCUAUUCUUUUGUCUCUGUUUAUUCUUCUUUCUUUUGCCCUACCCGGGUACGUGGGGAGUUUCUUGCCUUUUGGGAGGUCUGAGGUCUUCUGCCAGCGUUCAGUAGGUGUUCUGUAGGAGUUGUUCCACGUGUAGAUGUAUUUCUGAUGUAUCUGUGGGGAGGAAGGUGAUUUCCGCGUCUUAUUCUUCUGCCAUCUUGAAGGUCUCCCCCUUGCUUUGUUUUAAUAUUUAUUUAUUUGGUUGAGCCGGGUCUUAGUUGCAGCAGGUGGGCUCCUUAGUUGUGGCUUGAAGACUCCUUAGUUGUGGCAUGUGAACUCUUAGUUGCAGCAUGCAUGUGGGAUCUCGUCCCCUGACAAGCGAUCAUGCCCAGGCCCCCUGCGUUGGGAGCGCAGAGUCUUAACCGCGGCUCCCCCAGGGAAGCCUCUGGGUUUUGCUUUUACUGGCCUCAGCUGUGCAGCAGUCCGUUCCCACCCGCUCUGUCCCUCUGUGCUUUCCUCCUGCUCCACACCAGCCUCCCCUGCCCGGCUGCCCUGUCCUGCUUCCUGACUCUCUGCUCCCCUUGGCGUCUCCACCAGCCCCAGAGCGUGAGGACAUGUGUGUGCGUGUACACACGUGUAUACAAAGCUGUGCUGAUGUAAACUCUGGUAGAUAGAACAAGAAUCCAUUCAUUCAGUCAACAAAUACUGACUCGGCACUUCCUAUAUGUAAAAACUAAGCAUAGAGCAGUGCAGACAGACAAGACGUCUGUCCUCCUCGUGGGGCGCAGCCCGGCCAUGCACUGCUCAGGCGACCAGGGUAAUGGUGCUAGGGGACCAGGCAGGGCGGCCUCGGGGCAGCUGGGCUUCCCUGCUCACACCAGUCCCUUGGAGGGCCCUGCUUCUGCUCAGUGCCCACGUGCCCCAGGCCUCACCUAUGGAAACACUAGGGAAACCUUGUUUCUCCCACAGGCUUUUGCACUGUGUGAGCAUCAAGGCCUUGGGAGUCUCAACAUUGCCUGCAGGAGGUUUUUCUGUUCGGGGAAGGUGUGCGGGGAGAGGCUGUGUUUUCUCAGGCCAUCACAGGUCUUGAACUUAGGCCUGGCCUCUUUCCUUCACGAGCCAAGCUGGUUCCAACAAUGGUGUCAAACCGUGGAACGGUUGUGAUGCCCCGCCAGCCACUAGCGUGGAAAGAGAAGGAAGGCAGGGCUCAGUGUUGGACAGGGGAUGGGAGGUGGGGGAGAGCCCCAAGGUACCGUAACAGGUAGGGCGGUGAGGGAGGCUGGCAACGUUGGUUAAGGUGGGAAGAGCAGGUCAUAGGUCAUAGGACCCCCAGAAAGUGAGUGACCUGUACUGAGAACUGACAGCAGGCCAGGUACUUGUCACUGUGGUAGCCCAGGUGGAGUAGUGGGGACCACACAGUGAGGGAGCCCUGGUGCAACUCCUCCUCUGGCUCACCUCCAGCUGUGUGUCCCUUGGUUAGUUACUUAACCUCUCUGGCCCUCCUUUCACUCAUCUGGAAAAUAUGUUUAAUGACACCUAUUUUAGAGGGUUGUUGUAGAGUUAAUGUUUGCACAGGGCUGGGCACACUGAAGGCGUUUCAUAAAUACUACCCAUCAUAAUGACCACACUUAAUGCUUAGUCUGGGAGGUUUAUUCCCUAGCAGGAAUUUUAGAGAUUGCCCAGUUCAGUGGUUCUCAAACCUUAGCCUGCACCAGAACUGCCCAAAGGACGUGUUAAAAUUCAGACUUCUGGGCUCCACCCACCCGAAGGCUCUGAUGAGUAGGUCCGGGUGGGUCCUGAGAGUGUGCGUUCCUAGCAAGUUCCCAGUGGUCCUGAUGUUGCUGGUCUGGGGGCCACGCUUUGAGAACUGCUGUGCUAGCGUAAACGCUGAUUUUGGAGAUGAGAAUCCUGAGGUUCCGAAUGUGUGCUCCUUGCCCGUGCUCAUCGGAGUCUAGGCCUCCCAGCUCCUGGUGCAGGCCAAGGUCAGGACAGGAGAGCACGUUGCCAGGCCCCAGGGAGGGUCAGUACGCAGGAAGUCAGAGUCCAGGCAAAGGGCCCAGGAUGAGAGGAGUGAGCUUGAUGGAGAGCAAAGCCCGCUAUUCGAGGAGGGGAACCGGCCUCCGUGUGGGCCUGAGCCACGCAGCCUGAGUCUCUGGCCUCAGGCAGUGCAUGUGAGUGUGUGAAGGGAGCGGAGUUGUGUAGAUGGUGUGGGGUUGGGAGGUGAGGAUUCGUGAGUGUGUCUGUGCAGAUGGUGGGUAAGUGUGCGGGUCUGCGUGAGCGAUUUUUGUAUGAGAGUGUGUGUGUGUGUGUGUGUGUGUGUGUGUGUGUGAAUUUGUGGGAACCGUGUGGUAGUCUGCUCAGGCUGUCAUAACACAGCACCACAGACUGAGCAGCUUAAACAGCCAACAUCUGUUGUCUCACAGAUUUGGAGGCUGGAAGUUUGAGAUCAAGGUGUCACAGGGUUGGCUUCUCCUGAGGCCUCUCUCCUUGGCUUGUAGACGGCCGUUUUCCUGCUGUGUCCACAUGGUUUCCCUCUGUCUGUCUGUGUAAUGACACCAGUCAUACUGGAUUAGGGCCCAGCCUAAUGACCUCAUUUUACCUAAAUCAUCUCUUUAAAGGCCCUGUCUCCAAAUACAGUCACAUUCUGAGGUUCUGGGGGUGAGGACUUCAACACAUGAGUAUCGGGGGACUCAGCUCAGCCCGCAACAGUGUGUGUGUGUGUGUGUGUGUGUGUGUGUGUGUGUGUGUCCGUCCACAUGCAUACAGAAAGCCCACAGUUCUGGAGGACACCCUGCUCAGCCACCCUCCCUGUAAGAGUGCUGGUGAAUGAGAAGUGUGACUUUCUUUCCUGCCUCAUCCUAGGUUUGUGAGUUUAUGGGGAGGCCAAGGUGCCCCCCACCCCAUCACAGGGGAACAUGGUUCUUUAGGUCUCAGGAUUGGAGAUGAAUUCCUCCUCAGUUGGUGUAGCGUUUCACCUCCACCCAAGCAAUCCCUUCCUCUGAGCCCCGUGCAGCGGCAACUUGGCCUUCCCGAGCCUACCCUCCCAGACGUUCCCUGCAGCAGAAGUUUGGGAAAGGUGGUUUCCCACCCAGGACGAGGGCCCCUCUGGCUCAACCCCACUCCCUGGAGCUCCCCUCACACAGUGUCAUCUUUUGUCUCCCUGAGGCUAGAGUCCCUGUUUUCUUUAAAGCUAGAAAAGACAUUUUGGAGACGCUCUGUAGUUGGUCAACCUCGUUGUUUCAGAGGGAGAGGACUGUGGGCUUGAAGGGGGAUGAGGCAAGAGUUCAUUUCAGGCCUUACAGAAGGCAUGUUUUCCACUUGGGAUGGAUUGUUACCUAAUAGGCUGUCCUUUAUAGAAACAGAACAGAGGCCUGCUGACACAAUCUCAACUGUGGGUUUUCUCGGGGCAGCUGGACAAUUGUUUCUGCAGCUCACACAAAAGAAGGGGCCUGGGUGCACCUGGACUCCUUGUUGGGAGCUGGAUAAGUCCUGAAUAACAAGCCACUGAUCCAGGGUCUCGAGGGAGCAGUGGGGCUGCAGGCAGUGAACCACCCCCCCCACACCCGGCACUGAGAGCAGGGCCCAGCCGGGGGCCCGCUCUGCAGUCGGCACUUGUGUUUGUUGACUAAAUGACUGAUUGAAGGAAUAAAAAUAAGAUUCAAAGGGAGGGAAUUCCCUGGCGGUCCAGUGGUUAGGACUCUGCGCUUUCACUGCAGAGGGCCUGGGUUCCAUCCCUGGUGAGGGAACUGAGAUCCCACAAGCUGGGAAAAAAAAAAGUUUUAAAGGGAAAAAGUGGGUUUGAGGUAGGAAAGAGCAGGCUGGAAGUGGUGAGAGAUGUUCUCACUAGCUUCCUUCUGGAAGAGUCACGCCAGGGUGACACUGCCUCUGAGAAAAGCUUAUACUCAAGAUACGUGCCAGUCUGCCUCAAAUGACUUAUUAAGCACCCAUCGUGUGCAGAGCAGUGGGAAGCAAAUCAAAGACAUCUUCUCAGGAAUUUUGACUCUGCUUACAUACUGGGUUGGCCACAAAAGUUCAUUCGGGUUUUUCUGUAAGAUGUUAUGGAAAAAUCCAAACGAACUUUUUGGGCCAACCCAAUAUUAUAUUUAAGAAAACGAUAACUGCAAUGAUAGACAUGUAUCAGUCAGAGGUCUCCAGAGAAAAAGAAUUGAUAGGAUGUGUAUAGAUAUAUGGAAAGAGAUUUUCCUCCAGCUUUAUUGAGAUAUAAGUGACAUAUGACAUCGUUUAAGUUGUACAACGUGUUGAUUUGAGGAAGAGAUUUAUUAUGAGGGAUUGGCUCCUGGGAUUACGGAUGCUGAGAAGUCCCACAGUCUGCCAUCUGCAAGGCCCGGAAAGGCUGGUGGUGUGGUUCAGUCCAAAUCUGAGGGCCUGAGAACCAGGGGGGGUCAACGGUGUAAGCCCCAGCCUGAGUCUGAAGGCCUGAUGUCCAAGGGCAGAAGGUGAUGUCCCAGCGCAAGGAGAGAGAGAGCGAGAGAGAGAGAGAGAGAAUUCACCCUUCCUGUGCCUUCUUGUUCUAUCAAGGUUGGUCCUCAAUGGAUUAGAUGAUGCCCUCCCACGAGGGUGAGAAAGAUCUUUACUCAGUCUACUGACUUAAAUGCUAAUCUCCUUCGAAACACCCUCACAGACUCACCCAGGGUAAUGUUUCACCAGUUCAUCCCUUGGCCCUGUCACGACGAUGCCUAAAACUAACCAUCACAAGACAUAAGGGAGAAGACUGGAAGGGAAAGUGAAAAAUAAGAGUAAUUGACUGGGGCUUCCCUGGUGACGCAGUGGUUAAGAAUCCGCCAGCCAAUGCAGGGGACACGGGUUCGAGCCCUGGUCCGGGAAGAUCCCACAUGCCACGGAGCAGCUAAGCCCCGUGCACCACAACUACUGAGCCUGCGCUCUAGAGCCUGCGAGCCACAACUACUGAGCCCACGCGCCACAACUACUGAAGCCCGCGCGCCUAGAGCCCGUGCUCCACAACAAGAGAAGCCACCGCAGUGAGAAGCCCGCCCACUGCAACAAAGAUCCAACGCAGCCAAAAGUAAAUAAGUAAAAAUAAAUUUAAAAAAAUUUAAAA